UGAGGUAGUAGGUUGGAUAGUU
rnacentral:ncRNA from 2 species